ACCCCUCGUGAGGCGCCCUGAGGAGCCUGAUGACCUCUCUUUGUCCACCCCCUCAGAUCGCCACUUGGGAGAGUCACCGGUGGACAAGGCAAAUGGAAAAGAUGGCGCUCAGGAGCUCGACGAUGCCUUUCUAGAGGCCUUUAAGAACUUGCGCGUCAGCUGUUUUUACUGCUAUCCAAGAGACAGAUCUGAAACCGAAAAUCACAAAAUGGAAGAAUGAAACAGCUCAGACUCCCUUAUGGUAGCAGUUAUGGCGUCCAUUUUACAGGCGGCUGUAAAAGAUCAUGUUAAACCAGGCAAUUAAUAAAAUGUAUUUAAAUGUGUCAA